AUGAUUGAGAAAUUAGAUGUAAAAAGAAAAGGAGAAGAUUUAACAUUCAAAAUAUAUUAUAGUAUAAAUGAUGCCUUAUUUUGGGCAAGAAAGUUAUUCGGACCAGAUGAUUAUAUUGACACAAAGGCUAAAGACUACAUCCAAAUGAGAAAAGGCAUACCUACUUCACCAACUCCUACAAAGGGGGAGGCAUCAAGCUCGAAAAAUAUAAAGAAUGAAGAGUCUCCAAAAUAUCAAACAUAUCAAGAAUGCCUUCUAAAGGGACUUGACCCUUUAGACAGUGAAUACAUGGAUCAAGAAAUGGAUAAAAGAUUUGAAGAAUUUUCAAAAUAA
rnacentral:rRNA from 1 species